rnacentral:lncRNA from 1 species
GCAAGAGAGGAGUGCCACCUGAGUCUCUUCUCCAUCUUGAACUUACCUGGGGUGGAAGGGAUAUUGUCAAGAUGGGACAUUUGCUUGAGCUGAGACUUUUUCCAGAGAAAAUGAUGGACUCUGAAACAAACCCAGAUUUUCUCUUCUUGUGAUUCCCCACAAUGCGAGUGAAAUUUAGAGGAAAGAAGAAAUCUAGGGUUUGGGUUCCAGUAAUGAACCUUGAGAAAUUCUUGCUGUUGCUGUUGCUGUUGAGGAAAACGAAAUAAAAGAAAAGGGUUUGCCCUCCUUCACCUCUCUACCUUACUGAGCAUACAUAUGCACAUAUGGAAUCUUGCAGUUUCUUGGAAGUAUUGGUUGGUGGUGGUCGUCACAUUUCGGGCUUAUAGUUCUACAGACGAAAGAUGGAGACAUGAUCGUGAAUCAAUGAUUAAGCAAAUACUGAUUUUCUAGAGAGAAAAUGACAGAAUUUAAUGGAGAGAAACAUGAAUGUGUUUGAUGAAUUUAAAAUGAAGUAGUGGAUUGGGAUCAAUGAGAGUCAAAGCAACUACAAAAACAGUGUGGAAUAGCUCAGAUUCAAGAGAGAUUUGUUUAUAUAUUUUAUAUCAAGCAAUGGUUUCAUUAUGAGCUUAAAAUCAUACCAAAAAAAAGCAAAAAAAAAAAAAAAAAACAGUACUUAACAAUGGACAAAUGUUGUAAAACGACAAAUCUAUCUGUCUUUUUUUUUUUUGCCACUUUGAAUUGACAGGGGCCCAUGACUUUUGACAUCUCCAUUUUUAAACUCUCCUUAUUUAACAUUAUUUUGUGUGGGGCUUAUUAUCUUCCGCGUGAUGAAGAUGGUGUGGAUGAGAUUUCAAGUUAUUAUGAACCUUGUUUGGCAACUAUUUGAAGAAGAGUUUUCUACUUUAUUUAUUUAUUUAUUUUAAUAAUAAAAAAAUAUUAUACUUUUUUUUUUAAUGUCAUAAUAUUUUUGAGUUGUUUUCAUUUAUUUAUUUUAAUAAUUAUUUAAAAAUAAUAAUUAUAUAAAUAUAUAAAAUAAUUAAAAUCAAAAUACGGUAUAUGAAAAUUAUUUUAAGUUUUCAAAUAAAUUUUUAUUCUAUAAAACAUUAAAAAUAAAAUUUAAAAACUAUUCCUAAAAAUUAUUUUUUUAAACUGUUUUAAAAAAAUAAUUACCAAAAAAAGAGAUAUUCAUUUGUCUCUCAUUCCCUGUACAUUCCCACUUUGUAAAUAUCAUAAUAUAUUACAGAUAAGACACAAAAUAUUACCUAUAAUUCAUAUUUAAUAUUGAGACCGAGUUGUUAUAAAGAUAUGUAUAAUCUAAAAUAUUCUUGUUAAUUAAAUAUGAUAUUAAUAAAAAUAAUAAUAUCAUAAGGUAUUAUAUCCAAUAGAAUGUAUGUUAUAUAUUUGAAUUUAUAAAAUAUCGAAUAAGAAAACAUAUUAUAUUUUGAUAAGUAUAUAAAAAAUAUAUUGUUUCCAACAUUGUUAUUAAAAAAUAUGAAACAUUUGUCAUGUUCAGUAUUACUUAAAAAUCAUUCUAUAAUCUAUUAUUUAGUAAUUAAUUUUUUAUUUUUUAUUAAAAUAUUCAAGAUUAAAAUAUUUUUAUAUAUUAGUAUUAUUUUAUAUUUUAAUAUACGUAUUUUUUUUUAAAAUUAAAAUUUUACUUUUUUGACCCUAUUAAUGCUCCAAGCACUGUCAUUUACUCCUAGAGGAGCAAGUACAAAAUGUGAUAAUUCUACCUCAUAUCAUAGUCAAAAAGUCAUAUUAAGACAUGAAGUUUAGGUAAAAAAUAAUGACCCUCAAGGCUCACACAAUGAGAAAGCAUGAAUACAUUCAUCCACAUUCUUAUUAUAAGGUACUCUGUGUCAAAAAGAGAAUGUCUAAUUCUCUAAGGGAGAAUGGAAUGGUGCACCCUCGCGCAGUUCAAAGAUGAGUUUAUGUGUGCAAUUUUCAAUACAUAGAAGAUAUUUUUCCAAAUAUCCUUUUCCAUCAAACAAUAUAUGGCAAUCAUAUAGUGUGCACCCAUAUCCUAGUCCACGCAAGACUUGGUUCAUAAGGGUUUUCUUUCUUCCUAAUGAAAAUCUUAAUGUUAUCCUCCAUUGUGAGUAUACUAUCUAUCCCUCCUAGCCACUACAAAUACCAACAAACGCAUUUAAUUACCAAGCCAUCACCAGCAACACCUCUCCAUUGAUAGCAUUGCAACAAGUAAUGAAAAUUCUUAUAUUUGGUUUCUUCACUCUUAAAGAAUCAUGACGUGCAAGUGAGUGCAAAGCAAAGCUUGUUCUACAAGAAGUUCUGAAAGUUCACAGUUCCAGAUACAUGAAUGCUGGAAAGAAUCAAGGAAGCCCCUAAUGCUAGAGACUAGAAUCUUGGAAUUUUCUUCAUUUCCUUUUCUUCUGACAUUUCAGAUAUGAGUAGGAGAACCUUAUGAAACCGGUCCAUUUGGUUUAGCUUAAGCAUCUGGAUUGUCUUAUAGCAAUUCAGUUGACAGUAAUAUUUGGUAAGAAAUACUUGCAUUAUGGGUGCUUCAUAGGUUUGGCAUAAUAGAGGAAGAGGGACUAUUUGUGGCCUGAUGUCACCGGCCCAGACUUAAAACUAGGAACAGUAGCAUUUGAAUUUCUCAUGGUGCUUGAUAGGAGUAUUGUAUUCUUAGUAGCAAUUUCUCUUUAUUUUUUUUAACUCUAUAGCUUGGUGUUUUGAACAACCCAUGUAUUGAUUUUUCCUCCCGGAUUGAAACAUCCCAUUUAUCUGUCCUUCAUUUCAAAUAUAUUCCACGAUGGGAAUGAAAUCUGAUUUAUGCAAACCCAAACAUCACUGUUGUUUAGGACAUUACAAAUCAAAUAGGUUGUUUGUAGCUGCUAAAAUAUAUGCCCGAUGUGAAGAGAUAUUAGAUUCCAAUGACAGAAGGAACAAGUUCAGAGCACAUGCAUAGACAAAAAGAUGAUGUCAAAAGGAUUCUAAACGUAUACAACUAAGAGGAGUGAUACCAUGUAUAUGUUUGUAUUAACACAGCAGAAGAGGCGGCCUCCUUGGUAAGCCGCCUGGUUUGUCUUUGGAAUCACCUCACCUUGUGACAUGAAAGCAACUUUCGAUGAUCACAUCUCAAACUUUCUAUCAACUUUCCAUGGUAAAAAGCUAAGGUUCAUGCAGCCAUGCCACCAAAAUAGUGAAUGUGGAGCUACCAGUUCCAUAUAGAUUGUAAGGGAGAAAGAUCUAGUAAGGAGAAUACCCCCACCAUUCCUAAAAGCCUGUUCUAACCAAUAUUGCCAGAAAAAUGCUUACACAAAAACUAACCCACCACCCUAAAGGCUGUAUACCAAACUAUCAGGUUCCAUCUUCUUCCACAAAAUUAAUCAAUUAAGGACACACAGGACUACAAGCUGUCCCAGACGAGCUUGCAGAAUAGGAGGGUGUCAUUUAGAAUUUUAUGUCAAAAAAGAGAAAAAAAUACCCACCAGAAGGAUUAUAGAAGACCAUGUGUAUGUCUUUCUAGUCUUCAAGAUUUAAAAACCAUCCCCAAAUCAGCCAUGACUUAGAACCUCUACAUGUUCACACAGUUUACAAAGCAGAAAUUAGAACCAGGAAUACAUCUCUGUAGUCCAGAGCAACUCUCAACUAGAGCUCUAUCUUCGUCAUACUUAACCACAGUACAACAAUUGUCCUUUCUGUGUAACAAACACAAGAAUUUAUAAAUUUCUAUAGUAUUUCCUGAAUGAAAUAUGCUACUAAACAACUGGAAGCACUCAAAUGUUAUAAAAGAAAACAUGAGAAAACAUGAGACACUGAGAAAAAAGGACUAAACCACAUAUCCCAUAUGACAAUUAAGGGUUGGCUAGAUACAUGUAACUCAAUUUUGACACCAAAAUAAUUACAGCAACCUAGGAAGAGUCAAAAUAAGCCCCUUCAAUCACUCCAUGCUGUUGAUACUCCAUUUGAGAAUAACCUUCAAGAACACUUAAGGCUACAUCCACAAAAGGUUGUUGAGGGCAAGGGGAAAAACUAAAAUUUUUGAAGAAGUCGGUACCAGGUCAAGACCAGUGUAAGUUGUGAAAGAAGGACAUAUACAAAUCCAUAGUUGCAGAAGUUCAACAAAUCCAUAAUUGCAAAGUUAAUUUGAACUCAAAAUCAAUAACUCCAACUUUUAUUCAUAACCAAUCAUUUGAUUCAGAAAUUAAACAAAACAACUUCUGCCAAACAACUAUGAUUGGACAGCCAAAUUAUCAUACUUCCUAAUACCUUUCAACUUGUCAGCAUAUUUUGUCUGGAUAAAAAACAGAUAAAUCUUAAGAAAGUGAGAAUGGGAAGUGCAACAGUUCAGUAAUCAUUCAUUUAAGAAGCCAACAGGAAAGACGGGAUUGUGGCCUUCUGCAGUUGUAUUUCACAAGUAGGCUGGUUCUUAAGGUUCAAGAGAUUAGCCAUGGCAAAUGAAAUUAUUGAUGCACUCUACCUUUUUCAACAUAUUCAAUUAAACCACGAAGAAAAUAGAAAUCAAGUUAUCAUGUGCUAAUUUUAUUCAAAUUGCACAGAGAUGAUACAUGUCCACCAAUCAGCAUAUUAUGAUCUAUUGGCCAUUAAUUCUAAAAUGCUGAAACUACAACAAUUACAUCACCCACUUUCCACCUUCCAACUCCAACCCCUCUUUCCAAACCCCAAAAAGGAAAGGAAAAGGAUGGUUCAAGUUUUCUUUCAAUACAGCUCAGGACUCGAAGUACCCAGAAAACAAUAUCCACCAACAACAAAAUAUCCUCCCUCCUUAUACGACAACAUGUAGAUAUAUGAAAAGAAAAUAAUUGAUAAUUGGGCAAAGAACAGAGAGACUUGAAAACAAUCAUAAGAAUCAUAAUGAACAAGAAUGCAAAGGAUCCUACCACACGGUUCAAAGAAUGUUUUUACUGAGCACUCUUCUCCCCUGCUGAAUAGUAUUUGAUGUACCACCUAACAAAUUUCUUCAAACCUGUUUGCAGAUCUGUUGUGGGCUUGUAUCCGAGCUCCCUUUGAGCCAAGCUGAUGUUGGCAUGGGUAAACUGCACAUCCCCAUUCCUUGGCAUCUUCAUCAUCGUUCUUUUUGCCUUCACCUUCAAGAGUCUCUCCAAAAUGCUCACAAGAUCCGUGACUGGAACCGGUGAUGUGUUGCCCAAAUUGAAAACCCUCAAUUGGGCUGGCCCCUUCUUCUUCCCACCACUACCAGUGCUCUUCUCCGCAGUAUCUAAUGCUGCCACACAUCCCUUCACGAUAUCAUCAAUGUAGGUAAAAUCCCGGGCAACCGUCCCAUGAUUUGGAGCCUCAAAUAUGCGAAUCGAUUUCCCUUUCAAAAUAUCCUUCGUGAAAAAGAAAUACGCCAUAUCAGGUCUUCCCCAUGGUCCAUAAACGGUAAAGAACCGCAACCCAGUAAGCGAAAGGCCAUAUAUAUGAUUAUAAGUAUGGGCAAUCUCUUCGCCAGCCUUCUUGGUGGCGGCAUAGAGACUGGCAGGCUGAUCCGUCCGAUCUCUCUCGGAAAAGGGUACCUUUGUAUUGAGUCCAUACACUGAACUCGAAGAAGCCCACACAAUUGCAGGCUGUGGAUUCGCCGAUUUACAGACUUCAAGAAGAUUAACAAGACCAGCAAUAUUACUAUGAACAUACGAACUUGGAUUUUCCAUAGCAUACCGAACACCAGCCUGAGCGGCCAAAUGCAUUACAUGGGUAAAUGCAACUACCUCAAAUAGCUUCCGGAGAAGCUCUGAAUCGUUUAUAUCACCCUCCACAAUGAACACACCGGUACGCUCAAGAAGAGCUUGCCGGGCACGUUUCAAGGAGGGAUCAUAGUAGUCAUUGAAGUUAUCAAGCCCGACAACGCCAUCGCCGCGGCGCUUGAGUGCGGCGGAGACGUGGGUUCCAACGAAUCCGGCAGCGCCGGUGACGAGCACAGAGAUCCCAUUGCGAGCACGCACUUUGGCCGAUGAUCGGACCCGCUUUUCCCAGGCAGGACCGCCCCAACUGUAGGUCCGGAGGGACCGGCGGGAGGGGUCGGACGGCAGAGAUGAUGAUGACGGGGAUAGGAAGAAAAAGAUGAAAAUCAAGCCCAAGAAGACGAAGGACCAAAACGUUAGCUUGGCAAGAGAGGAAUGCCACCUGAGUCUCUUCUCCAUCUUGAAUUUUCCUGGGGUAGAAGGGAUGUUGUCAAGAUGGGACAUUUGCUUGAGCUGAGACAUUUUCCAGAGAAAAUAAUGGACCCUGAGACAAACCCAGAUUUUCUUUUCUUGCGAUUCCUCAGAAUGUGAGUGAAAUUUAGAGGAAAGGAGAAAUCUAGGGUUUGGGUUUCAGGAAUGAAUCUUGAGAAAUCCUUGGUGUUGCUGUUGAAGAAAAAGAAAUCAAAGAAAAGGGCUUGUUCUCCUUGACCUCUCUUACGUUAUUGUUCACACAUAUGUAUAUUUGGAAUCCUAUGGUUUCUUGGAAGGGUUGGUUGGUGGCGGUGGUCACUUUUACGCGCUUGUAGCUCUACAGAGAAAAGAUGGAAACUUGAUCGUGAAUGAAUGAUUAAGCAAAUGGUGAUUUUCUAGGGAGAGAAUGACAGCUUUUAGAGAGAGAAACCUGAUUCUCUGUUAUGAAGCCAAUACUCAUAUGGAGUAAUGGAGAUCUAGAAGACUCAAAAUGAACUGUAAAAAGUUAAAACAGCGUGGAAUGGGUCAAAUUCAAGAGAUAUUUUCAUAUUUAUUUAUUCAUAUCAACCUAGGGUUUUGUCAUUACCUUUAAAUCAUAAUAAAAAGGAAAAAAACAAAAGAAAAAAAAAAAUGAGAUUCCCUUUUCUUUUUCAUUUUUCUUUUUUUUUUUCUCAAAAUUUCAACUUUGAUUGAUUGAGACGCCUUGAAUUCUUCUACCUCCAUUUUUAAACACUCUUUAUUUAACAUAGAUUGUGUGGGGGUUAUUGCCUAGGGAAGGAGUGAUGAAGAUGGGUGUGGAUGAGAUUUUGAAGCUCCAAUAAUGGAGGGAUUUAUACUUUUUUCGACCAUUAAAAAUGGAGAAAUUUGUGGGGAUUUGGGAGUUGGAAUUUCCACGCCAAUUUCUUAUUUAUUAUGAUGAAGAUGAUCAAGCUAUCAACUCUAAAUAAAUUAGUCAAAGUUGAAAUUAAUCACUUAAAUUAUGUUCUUUGUUUUUUUUCUUUCCUUUUUAUAAAAGAGCAAUACAAAAUUUUUAAAAAUCUUAGAUGGGUUUUGUUGGAACUCUUGAGGGAAUGUGGGUAGUGGAAUUUUAAGCAAUUAAAAGAUACCAAUGAUAAGAUAAUUUUAAAAAUAAGUCAUUAGUGUAAAGUGCAAGAGAAUGCUAAAUGUUUAAUAAUUCAUCUAAGAGGAUAAAUUUUAAAAUUUGAAAGCAUACAACAAGAAGACUAUUGUAUAUAUAUUAGACUAUUGUGUGAUCACCAUUCACACCUAUUUUUUAAGUGGUUUUUUCCAAGUGAUUCUAAUGAUUAUCCACAUUAUGAUUAUGUUUGAUAAGGAUGUUAUUUAAUUAUUCCAAUUUAAAGGGGAAUAUGAAUGCUUGACAUUUGUGCACAUUAUAAUGAUUAAUAUAAAGUAUGGUUAUGGCUAAAUUUGAAUGUUUAUUUAUACUUGUAUUAAGCUAUGCUAUAUUGGUGCUUUUCAAAGAUGAUGCAGUGAGAGAACUUAUUUGGGAAAUUUUCUAUUUUAAAGUAGGCAAAGGACUGCAACAAAGAAGUAGACAACAAUGGUGGAUCCACAGAGUUAGAACAAUCAUGAAAAAAAGGGUCUUCACUCAACUACAAAACAGUUGGCAAUUACACAAUGUGGGGAUCACAGGAAAGAAAGAAAAGUGGAAAUAUGCUGCAGGAAACUUGAAAGAAUUUUAUGUUUUCAAGCUAAUAAUAAUAAUAAUAAAAGGCUAUUUAUUUACUUUUUCUCCCUUUUGUUUUUUUUUAUACCUUAUACAUGGUAGAAAAAAAUAGGGAAAAUGGUUCAAGAAGUUAGGGGAUUUGUUUUAAAAUUUAUUACUAUGGUAUUGGAAGGGAAAAGCUGUCUGUUUUCUUUUUCUCUUUUUUGUUUUUGGAUUUUGUGUGAGGCUUUUUUUUAACCCUUUUGUCUCUUUGUGGGUGGAUGUGUGAGUGAGAGAGAUAUGGGCAGAGGGGAUGAGUAAAUACAAGAGGAGACAGUGCAUGUGAGAGAGAGAAAAGUCACAUUUAGUGAGUGCUAGUAGUGCAAAACAAACUUGGAAAGAAGGCAAAUCCCUUUUUUUCCAAGGACCCUUUAUUAGAUACCUUACAUUUCAAUUUAUGUUAUAGGCUAGCAUCAUAUGGGUUUGUACUUGAAAUUAUUUUAGAGACACAAACACCUAGUUUCUUAAAAUGAAGAGUAGUAAUUUUCAAGGAAAAUAUACCCAAUAGUGUGUGUCCCACUUUCUCUAUAUUAGACUCAUCAUCAUAAUAACCUUCAUACCCUUCAUCCUUAAUGGGUCAAAGGAUACCCAAACGAGGAUGAGAUGAUUUUUGACCGUUUGGCACUCAAAUUUUGACUGAGAGGGAUAGCUUUGUUUCUUCUGAGACUGGUUCUUUGAGAGGAUGGUAUGGCCUGAACUCUUAUUUUCCAUCUUGGAAAAUAAAUGAAUAAACUACUUUGAGAAGAAGGGAAAAGAAAUAAAUUUGUGACUAGGUGCCACCUGCACCAUGUGACAAACUGAUAGAAAAGGUGAGGGGAGACAUGUCCUUGCUGUUCUUUCUUUAUACACAGGCAUCAUGUUCCAUGCCUUGCUAGUUAAUAUAGGCUGGACCUGAACAAAUUAUCUUAUAUAAUAAUAUGCAUUGGGCAUGACACCCUUAAGAUUAGGAGGCUUUCCUGGAAAUGCUGCUUAGUGAUAAUAGUGAAAUGGUUCCCUAGUGCCAGUAAAUUCACCCAUACAUUCAGCAGAUAUGAGAUCAAGUUCAUGCCCUCACAAAUAUCGAAAACACACUGAAAAACAUGGAUGGGCUUUUAAUAAUCUUGUACUUUUGAAGAACCAAUCUCAAUUGUUGAACAAAUUAAGUUUGGGUUAUUCUUGAGAUCCCCAGUAGAAAAGAAAAAAAAAACUAUGGAAAAACUUAUUCUCAAGAUCCAUCCAAUUCAAUAUGACUUCAAUUCCACUGGCAUCAAAGAGAUUAAAACAACCAAACUACUCAUUAACUCAGAAUAAAAUUACUAGCUCAGGAACAUCAAUGAGCCCUGGCCAGCAUAAAUCUUAAAAUAUUACAAGAAUACAAGGCAAUAAAAAAGGGUGGCUUCCAUUUCCCACUGCUGUGGUUGUCACAGUGGUGAGUCUUUCUUUUUAGCUUAAAGGUUGAUGGUACUUCAAUGUUUGGUAAAACGCUGGAGGACUUCGAAGUAGUCAGGGAAGGUUUUCCGGGUGCAACCAGGAUCCUUGAUGGUUACUGGAACAUCUGCACAGGCAGCAAGAGAAAAUGCCAUGGCCAUCCUGUGAUCGUCGUAUGUGUCUAUUGAUGUCACGUUUAGUUUUUCUGGUGGAGUGAUCACACAGUAAUCAGGCCCUUCUUCAACUGUUGCUCCCAGCUGAAAUUUAAAACCGAAUGGCUCAGUAUGGAAAAUGCCUACAGAGUAGACAAGGUUAUAGAAUUUCAAUUGCAUAUAAAUGCCGCUGGAAACUGACCUUCCUGAGUUCUGUGCAAAUGGCAAUCAUCCUUUCGGUCUCCUUCACUCUCCAACUAGCCACUGUUAAAUAAGAGAACCAAGAGAUCAGUGGAGCAGUUUUAACCAGAUUUGUUCACAUGCAAUUCUAAGAAAAUGGAUUCAAUAAUCUACCUAAUAAGAUCUUUGUUUUCUGAUGAAAAAAGAAAUACUUCAAGUCAGCCGAUCCUAAUGGGAAAGGAAGUUUUCCUUCCAACUUUUAGUUUAGUGCAAUAAAAUAUUCUUUUCUUUCUUUUUUAAAACAUUGGUAAGGGUUUACAGUAAAGUUUCUGAUUCCCCUGUGAUAAUCAUUAGUCCCUACAUUGUUCUUAUGCCAUUACAUAAACUGUGAGCACCAAAUGCCCACCCCACCUCCCCCCACCCCAGAUAGAAAUGGGGAUUCCGUGAUUCUCAAUGUAUAGACCAGCUAUUUUCACUGCCAUUUCUGCAGCCAAAAUGCUAAAUCAAACUGCAUUUAAUACCAAUAGUAGAGGCUAACUCAUUCCCAUUUCCAAGGACAUAAUGAAAUCAAUUCACUAUCAUCUAUGUGCCAUGCACAAAUUCUGAAGUAAUAGAGCCCAAGUAAUGGGAAUUGCAUAUCUUAGUACAGGAUUCCAAGAAAUGGGAAUCCCAUAACUUAGGAUCCAGCAUAUGGUAUACACCAGUUCAUUUCUAUGAACUACACACAUUUGAGAAGUCCAGGGGCCCAAAGAAUGGGAAUUUUGACUUGCCCAGUAAAUAGUUAGUUUUUUUGUGAUAAGCAAAAACAAAUUGAAUAACGACAUUCCCAUCUUUCACAACCAAAAGGCAAAACAUACCAUCUCUUAUGGCAGUCGGCCCAUCAGCAUAAAGGGCAACUACAGCAAGAGUCAUGGCAACAUCUGGCAUCUUGUUCAUGUUGACGUCAAUGGCACGUAAGUGUUUCCUUCCAGAAGAAUCUCGGGGUGGGCCUGUGACUGUGACACUGUUCUCCAUCCAGGAAACUUUUGCACCCAUUUGCUCAAGAACCUCAGCAAAUUUUACAUCCCCCUAAGUAAAAGGAAAAUUGAGGGGAAAAUGUGACUUCACUUGGUUAAGGAGAACAUAAUACAGAUACAGCCAAACUCAUCUAAAUCAUAAAAACAAAGCCAAAUUUGGAAAUCAUAUGUCAAUAGGAGUUCAGGAAUCUAGGAAUCAAUCAAGAAGCACUAGGAAACAUUGGAGAAAACACAAUAGUAAAAUUAGAGCAGGUGAAGAAAUAAAAGUAUACAUUGCAAUUCUGGAAUAACUUGAAAGUUGGAAAAUUAGUAUUAGUUUACCUGUAGGCUGCUUGUCCCACAGCCUUCAACUGUGACAGUCCCACCAGUUACAGCUGCACCGGCUAGGAAGUAACUAGCACUAGAAGCAUCACCCUCAACAAAAGCAUUUCCAGGAGACCUGAAGGAUUUUGAACCUAUCACUCUCAAUGGACUAGAUUUCACAAACUCAUGCAACUAUGUAGAAGAAAAACCUACUUGUAUUUUUGACCUCCUCGGAUCAAGAAUCGGUCCCAUGUAUUACUGUGCUCUACACUAACCCCAAAACGUUCCAUCAAUUUCAAGGUCAUUUCAACAUAAGGAAUGGAAAUAAGUUUAUCAAUAAUCUCAAUCUCCACAUCUCCUAGAGCCAAGGGAGCUGCCAUAAGCAAAGCAGUCAAGUAUUGACUACUAAUUGAUCCAGAGAGCUUCACCUGCAAGUAGAAAUAUAGAAAAAGUGGGUUGAGAGUGGACAAAUCAGGGGUUGAUUAGCAAAAGGCCAAUCAAUCUCUUUUUGGUGCCUAAAGCAACAACCUACAGGUAAAGUCUUCCAAGUUUAGUUGUAUUAUACAUUUUGCACAAGGCAUUACCUAUUAAAAAUAAAGAAAAAGAGGAAAAAGAAAAAUGAUGACAAUUAUAUUUUCUAGUAUCAAACAGUUUUUUCAGCAACUUGUUCCUUUUCUAGAAUGAUAAAUAACAAUGGAAAUAUUCUUUUUUGAAAUGAAGUGCUUACAUUUUUAAAAUGUGAAACAAUUUUUUUUUUCUUAUAUUUUCUAAAAAUGAUCACAUCUCAAUUUUACAACACUUUUUGGAAAAGUGUCAAUAAGCAUGUCUUCUACGAUUUUUCUUGUUUCUUUUUCUUUCUUCUUCUUUUUCCCUUUCAUUUUCAAAACCAAAGAGGCUUAUAAUCUGUUUACAAUUUUUUUCAUUUUCAACCAAACAGGCUUCAUGAAAGUGAAAGUUAUAAACUAAAACAUAUCAUAUGACACAUUUCCUUAUGGUGACACCAUGGCUGGAACAAUAUUUUAUGGAGGUUGAAAACAACAAUAAUAUUUCAAAGAUUGUACUCAAUGCUGGUUCCUCCAUGGUUUUGACAGUUUCAUUUUUAAAAAUGAAAAACAAUUGAAAUGAGAGAAAGAAAAGUGGGUCACAUAUGUUGACAAAAUGCUUCAACUUGCCAGGAUAUUGUGCAUAAAUAAUGGCUAGAAAAAUCAUAAAGUCAAGAACAGGACAUGCAAAUAUAAGUGCAACUUUGGAGUAAGACCUAAAAUUUAUUAUUCCAAAAAAAAAAUGAAAUAAAACAUAUGCCAUUGCAUGCUAGAGUGCCAGUGUAAAGGUGAAAUGAAUAUUACCUUUCCUCCUGGAAGGCCUCCAUUCCCAUUAACACGAACAGGAGGGCAGUUUGUUCCGAGAAAGCAGUUAACGUCUGCACCGAGCUGCUUAAGACCUGUGACUAGAUCCCCAAUUGGUCUUUCUCUCAUGCGCGGCACCCCAUCAAGUACAUAGCUGAAAAGUUAUUAAUUAGUAUAGAGGUGUCAGCUUGAAGAGUAACACAAAUAAAUGAGUGGAUGAUGUUGAGGAGCUCUGGGAGGAGAGAAUAGCAGGGAGUGGCAUGAACACAACAGUUGAUGCAUCCUCUUACAGAAUCCAAUCUUUUUAUUGUACCUCUUUUUUUUUUUUCCCUUUGAUAAGCAGGUGUCACACAAUUUUGGCAUCCAUUAUUGUCACAUACGUUUUAAAAGUAAAAUAAAGAAAAAAUAAAAAAUGAAUCAGAUGACAUUGUUGAGUAACUUGAUUAUAAUAUCCCAAUCUGGCAACUUUAGGAUCUAACUAGCUAAUUGAAAGUAUCAAAAAGCAAUCCUGAACAUGUGUGCCACUUCUAUGGCACAGUUUGGAUUCUUUGGAGCUUCCUACUUAGUUGAAGUGAUUUAUGAAGACAAGAAUGUCAACCUUUGUUGUCAUUGUAGGUCAAUUUCAUUUUAGUAUCAGAAUUGAAUCAAGCUAAAGUCCAAGCUUAACAGAAGAAAUAUAUAGAAAGGAGAAGAAAAGGUUGUCUUGGAAAAAAACAACCCAAAUUUUUUUGUAAAAGAGUGAUCCCUAUGUUUGCUUGCACAAGUUGGAUGAUAAAACAUUUUACAAACCUUGCAUUUCCACCAGCAGCUGUAACUGCAGCUGUCAAUGGACGCAUUGCUGUUCCAGCAUUUCCUAGGAAAAGUUGGACUUCACCUACUGAUCCAUUUCCCGCUGGAAAUUGGCCCCCACAACCUUGCACAAUAACUCUUUUAUUUUCACUUUGCUCUUCCACAUGUAGCCCAAGGGUCCUCAGUGCUCCGAGCAUGUAAUGGACAUCUUCACUAUUUAACAAAUUGUCCACAACAGUAGUUCCCUGACAAGAUAAUUGACAUCAAAAGUUUUUAGAACCUGAAUUCUACAUGGAAAAUUCACCCCACCUAAAGCAAAGACCAUAACCUCGGAUGUUCUAAAAUAUGUCUUCCAGCUUGAGAGAUACACCAGUUAAUCACACAUACAAUAGUCUACAUUCUAUAGCUAUAGACUCCAGGUAAAUUCUCCUGAAACUACAUGAUUUAUUUUAGAUAGUGCAACAUCAAAAGAGUUCAUGACUUGCUUACCAACCAUUUUCUAAGGUUUAUACAUCAAUUUAAAGUGUUAAGUUUUAUACCUUCACCCAUACAAAUCCAUAUUUUUCCAAAUUCAUUUACUUCAAAGCCUGAUUUCCAACACUACAGACAUAAGUACCUUUCUUUGGUACCAAUCUUUUCUUAGAAAAACCAUCAUUCGUCAUUCUAAUUUCAAAAAGAGAUGCAUACAUUUUCCCAGUUCUAUAUUUCAUUUUAUUUAAAAAAAUUCAGCCUUUCAUUCAAUAUAUGAUGCUAAGAAAUAUGAACAAGCUGCAUCAAGAGUAGCAAUCAUUCACGAUCGAAUUUGAAAGGACGUCUCUACACGUAUAUAAUUCACAUAACCACAAUUCACAAAGCAAAUCGUAAUGAUACCCAAUUUCCAAUACAAAACCAAAUCAGCUAAAUCAUAUAUUGAAAAUCAAAACUUCACCCAACAAGAAAAGAAUACAAUCCUCAUACCUCAGAGAGAGCAGCUAGAAGCAGAAUCCGAUUGGAAAGGGACUUGGAACCCGGCAACGUGAUGGUGCCGGAGAUCUCUUUAAUGGGUUGCAGGACAAUCUCCGGCGCCGUCGACGGCUUCUCCUUAGUGGCGACAGAGGCCGAAACCCUAAACGGGGCCCUAACAGAAACAAUCGAAUUGCUAACUGCCCUCUCAUGCUUCAAAGAAAAAGAAGAAACAUUAGGCCCUGAUCUCAAGAAGGGAGUAGUGAAUGGAGGAGUGGGUUUGUGAGGCUUGGAGAGAUUGGGCAAGAGAGGGCUGUUCUGGACACCACCACUGACAAUUCUGGUAACUUGAGCCAUUUUUCUCACUCUAGAAAACCAACUUCUCUCUAAACUAGAGGGCUCUGAUGAAAGUGGGUAUUGAUGAAGAUGGGUUUUGGGUAUUGGUAUUGAGCCUGAGGCAGAAGGAGGAGGAAGUGGAGGUGGUAGGAUUCAGAGCUCACCAACCAACUUCGGCAGCAGCCAUCAAAAUUAUUGACGCAGACCGUCUUCUCUCCCACCAACCCCUUGAUUGUUUUACUCACUCUACUUCAUUUGAAAAUUGCAUUUAUCCUCAAAUUUUAAUUAUUUUAGUAUAAGAUUUUUACACAUUUAGAAAUGCUUUCAUCCUUUCCAUUCCUGAGGAAAAAAAUAAAAGAAAAGGGAAAGCAAUUAUUUUUUAUUCUUUUUAAUUUAAAAUAAAUUUAAUUUUUCAAAAUUGACAUGGUACAAUGUGGAGGCUCUGUUUGGUGUGCGACUCGAAUGGGGGAGUAGGCGGGGGUGGGACCCAGGGAGUAGGUAUAAUAAGCCAUGUGGUUUGGUGAGAGACCGCCUCCUGAAUUAGGUAGACCAGUCGUGGUUCACAAUCCAUUCUUAUUAUUGGGCCUAGGGGAGUCCCUGUUCCAAUUGACCAACAAAUUCUAGCCCAUGACAAUCAUCAUCAUUCAUCAAAAUCAUGUUUGUUUUUUUGUUUUUGAUAAGUAUGAGAAGUAUUGGAUUCUGAAAGCGCUAAAAUAACGACUCAAAAUGCACGUACAUAUAUAUAUAUAUAUAUAUAUAUAUAUAUAUAUAUAUAAAGAGAAAUACUCACCCCCUACUAAGACAAAUAAAAAGCUUUCCAUAAUGAUAUAUAAAAAUAAUAAUAAUACAGCCCCCUUAUAAGAACCCACCCAAUAAAAAAACUGUAAAGAACCAUCUUUUAUAAACAGUUUAAUUUUCAACCAUAAUAGGGAUGAUAAUGGGGUGAGAUUUUUCGGGUACCCGCUCCGCCUCGUCCUAUGUUUAAUUUUAAUAAACGAAUUGGGAAUAGGUUUGGGGAUUUUUUUUUAAAACCGGAAGCUGGUUCAGGUAUUGCCUCGCCCUGUCCCGAUUAUAUAUAAAAUUAAAAUUUUAAUUAAAUUUAAUUUAAAAUUUAAAAUUAAUUUAAUUUAUUUUUUAUUUUAUUAUUUUUAAUAUAUAGAUAAUAAUAAAAUAUUUUUAAUAAUAUAAGUUAUAAAAAAUUUAAUAAUUUAAUUAUUUAUAAAAUAUAUUUAUUUUAAUAUAAUUAAAAGUUUUAAAAGUAAUUUUUUAAAAAAAAAAUUAAAAUUCAAAAAAAAGUUAAACGGGGCGGGUAUGAGAAUUUAUCAUACCUGCCCGCCCCGUUUAAUUUUUUAAAUGAGACGAAGAUAAGAAUUGUUUCAAAUAAACGGGACGGGGUUGGGAUGGAGGCGACCUGUCCCAACCCCGCCCUGUUGUCAUCCCUAGACCAGAAUAAGAAAAUAAGUUUUCAACUUUUGAAAGGAUAAUACAUCAUCUUCAAAGACAAUUCUAUUUCUUAUCUUUCAAAUGGUCCAAAAAAAUGCAAAGGGAUUUUAUAUGAGCCUUAAAGAUGCUAAAAAUAGUUAAAAAAAUCAAGUUUUAAAGAAUUUCUAUAAUUUUAAAAUUUUUUGACAAUACAAGAUAAGUAUUUAUUUUUUUGUAUAAGAGUUAUUAUCUUUCUAUAGUCCAAGGUUGAUAAACAAAAAAAUUCAAGAAUUUUGUCCAAACACCACCCUAUUCAGCCAUAAUUUUUAGGGACAACAAUAUUGUUUUUAAACUUAAUAAUCUUUUUCCCUACACGAUCUUGAGUUGAUUUGACAUGUUUUUACUUAAAUAUCUCUAAUAAAAAUAUUUUCUUUAAAAAUAUUUUUAGGAGAAUAGAAAGCACUAUAGGUGGUUUUUUUUUAAUAUUAUUAGUGACUUUUUUAAAAAACUUUUUAAGUAUUCUCAAGAUUUGUCAAAUAGUUAAUUUUUUUUUUAAAAACACUUUUUAGAAAGACAAAAAAAAGGCUUUUUAAAAUUACUAACAAACAGACUCUCAAACACUAUUAUGAUUUAAAUCCAUAUAUUACUUAUUAUGUAAAAAAUUUAGCAGCAUCCCUGGAAAAAUAAUUGGAUUCUAUAUAGGUAAUAAGACCUGACCUUUCAUAACAUCCCAUGUUACCUAUCUCCAAGCAGCAUAUGCAACUUGGGCUUUUUCAAGGUUGUGAUAUUCCAUUGUCUUCCAAGGUUAAAGGAUUGAAGUAGUGUGGAAGCUUUUCUGAGUACAAGCAGCCUGGAUCUUUGGUGGAGGCAGCAAGGGAGAAUGCUCUGUGAUCAUUUUAUAUGUCUAUUGCUGUCACAUUUAGCUUUUCUGGUGGAGUGAUGGAACUAAAAAUGACUUCUUUUUUUCUUCUUAAUAUUUAAUAAAAAUAAAAUAUAAAAAAGUAAAUAAUUUAAUAUUUAACGUUAUUAAAUACUAUUUAACUUUAAGUUCUACUUACAAUUAAGUUAAAAAAAAAAAAACACCACCUAAUUUGAGGAAUCCCAAUUCAAUCUAUAUAAAACAAUUGGAAAUUCGAUCUAUACAAAACAAUUGGAAAUUGACUUUCCUAACUUCCAUGUAGAUAGGAAAUCUUCUUUUCAAGUCUUUUUCACUCUUAAUAAGUCAUUUACAAUAUAAAAUUCAUUCUCAAUCAUCUAAAUACUAUCUGUUUCAAAUCUAAAAAGCCCUAAUAGUUUUAAAAAGUGUUUACAUUCAAAAAAAAGUUUAUAUAUAUAUAGUAUCAAUAACUUUUUCUCUUAUUUGGAAGGAAUAACACAAUCAUUCCUUAUAUAAAAUACAACCUCAUCAUUAUGUUUUGUUGGAUUACAAGAUCAAACGAACAAACAUCUCUAUAAUGUUAAACAAACUCCCACAAUGGGAUUGAUGAUUAACUUUAAUACCAUUUUAUAAUGAUUUAUUCCUAAUCAUGUAUAAAUUAUUUACUUUGAAUUUAAAUGGUUCUCACAACUUUAAAAUAUGUCUAUAUGAUUAGGAAAAGUUCAUACAUAUAUAGUGUCGAAAUUUUUUCUUCCAUCCAAUAUGAGAGAUUGCACAAAAAUAGAGAACAAUGAGGCAAAGGAGGAGUUUUAGACAAGUCCCCGUCAAUCACUUAGCAUUACAGAAAGAAGAGUAAUGCCAAUGUGGUAUAUACCCAAGAAAUGGAUUGAAAGAUUUAGAAUAUAUUUGGAUAGGCAACUCAAAUAGUUCUUGACAUAUUAGUUCAGCGACAUUCACAAAUGUCCAAAGAGAAGGAUUUUGAUAUAAAAGUUGAAGAACAAAUUCAAUCCAAGCCCACUUUGGUUCAUCCAUUGUGAAGGGAGGGAAUGAUUUUGAGGAUGGCUGAAUCCUCGUCUCAGGCCUGGCCCAGAAUUUGGGAUCUUUAACAAAGCCCAGGUCAAGCUGUGAGGUUAUUUUAAGGUCCAAACCCAAAACCCUCUGACCGUAUCAAGACUGUUUGCGUUCCCCUCCAACCAGUCAAAAAGGCCCAUUUCAUGCUGAAUAAGAGUUUUUAAUAGGGGUGAAAGUAAAAUGAAAAGAAAAAAUUGAAAAUCCGAUACAAAUCAAUCAAAACUGUUCAUAUCAAUUCAAGUUUUUAAUAACCAUAAAGGUCAUAUGAUUUUUCUAGUCUCAUAACCGAUAAAAAUCAAACGAAAUCAACGUUAUAAAAUUUAUAUAUAAUUAUUCAUUAUUUGAUGAACAUUUUUAAAAUAGAAAAUAGUUUUUUGAAAAUAAAUUAUUUUUAAAACAAAUUAUAGACGUUUUAAUUAUUUUGUGUGAAGUGCUUCAAGUAAUAAAUGAAAAUGUGAAAAAUAAUUUCAUAUUUGCAUGCAGGGAAAUAAUAUGUGUAUCUUAGGUCUGUUAUGUCCAUCCUGUAUUCCAACUUUGUUUGCAUGCAGGGAAACUGAGGAAAAAGAAAAGGAAAUAAGAGCUGAAAUCAAUGUUCUAUGUUAUUGUGCUAUCCAAAAUACAAAAAUGUCACCUAAACUAAAACUAUAGAUUUGAAGUUGAUAAAUUAUUUUGAUAUCUAUUUUCAAACUCAUUUUAUUUAUUUUUCAUCUUUUACGUAAAGUUAAAUAAUUUCAAAAUAGAUAAAUUUUAUACUAAUUUUAAUUAUAUCAGAUUUUUUUUUUUUUUUUGUUAUUUUUCAUGGCAUCCAAACAUGAAAAAAAAUCAUUUUUCUUUACAUCUUUUCUGGUACUUUUCUAGAAUCAAGCAUAGCCUUUAUGUUUUUAUUCUCCUCCAGUUGGUCAGCAACCAAACAGCUUAUUACAGUUUGAUCAUAUGGGUAGUCUGUGACAAUCUUUCCAGCUUAUUCAGUUUUUGUAAUUAAAAGAUAUAUUUGGUGCUUUUCAAAGAUGAUGCAGUGAGAGAACUUAUUUGGGAAAUUUUCUAUUUUAAAGUAGUCUGUGACAAUCUCAAUUGUUGAACAAAUUAAGUUUGUGUUAUUCUUGAGAUCCCCACCAUAAAAGACAAAAAAAACUAUGGAAAAACUUAUUCUCAAGAUCCAUCCAAUUCAAUAUGACUUCAAUUCCACUGGCAUCAAAGAGAUUAAAACAACCAAGCUACUCAUUAACUCAAAAUAAAAUUACAAGCUCAGGAACAUCUAUGAGCCCUGGCCGGCAUAAAUCUUAAAAUAUUACAAGAAUACAAGGCAAUAAAAAAGGGUGGCUUCCAUUUCCCACUGCUGUGGCUGUCACAGUGGUGAUAGUCUUUCUUUUUAAUAGCUUAAAGGUUGAUGGUACUUCAAUGUUUGGUAAAACGGUGGAGGACUUCGAAGUAGUCAGGGAAGCUUUUCCUUGGUGCAACCAGGAUCCUUGAUGGUUACUGGAACAUCUGCACAGGCAGCAAGAGAAAAUGCCAUGGCCAUCCUGUGAUCGUCGUAUGUGUCUAUUGAUGUCACGUUUAGUUUUUCUGGUGGAGUGAUCACACAGUAAUCAGGCCCUUCUACAACUGUUGCUCCCAGCUGAAAUUUAAAACUGAAUGGCUCAGUAUGGAAAAUGCCAACAGAGUAGACAAGGUUAUGGAAUUUAAAUUGCAUAUAAAUGCCGCUGGGAACUGACCUUCCUGAGUUCUGUGCAAAUGGCAAUCAUCCUUUCGGUCUCCUUCACCCUCCAACUAGCCACUGUUAAAUAAGAGAACAGAGAUCAGUGGAGGAGUUUUUAACCAGAUUUGUUCACAUGCAAUUCUAAGAAAAUGGAUUCAAUAAUCUACCUAAUAAGAUCUUUGUUUUCUGAUGAAAAAAGAAAUACUUCAAGUCAGCUGAUCCUAAUGGGAAAGAAAGUUUUCCUUCCAACAUUUAGUUUAGUGCAAGAAAAUGUUCUUUUCUUUCUUUUUUAAAACAUUGGUAAGGGUUUGCAGUAAAGUUUCUGAUUCCCCUGUGAUAAUCAGUAGUCGCUACAUUGUUCUUAUGCCUUUACAUAAACUUUAAGCACCAAAUGCCCACCCCACCUCCCCCCACUCCAGAUAGAAAUGGGGAUUCCGUGAUUCUCAAUGUAUAGACCAGCUAUCUUCACUGCCAUUUCUGCAGCCAAAAUGCUAAAUCAAACUGCAUUUAAUACCAAUAGUAGAGGCUAACUCGUUCCCAUUUCCAAGGACAUAAUGAAAUCAAUUCACUAUCAUCUAUGUGCCAUGCACAAAUUCCGAAGUAAUAGAGGCCAAGUAAUGGGAAUCGCAUAUCUUAGUACAGGAUUCCAAGAAAUGGGAAUCCCAUAACUAGGGACCCAGCAUAUGGUAUACACCAGUUCAUUUCUAUGAACUACACACAUUUGAGAAGUCCAGGGGCCCAAAGAAUGGGAAUUUUGACUUGCCCAGUAAAUAGUUAGUUUUUUUUUGUGAUAGGCAAAAACAAAUUGAAUAACGACAUUCCCAUCUUUCACAACCAAAAGGCAAAACAUACCAUCUCUUAUGGCAGUCGGCCCAUCGGCAUAAAGGGCAACUACAGCAAGAGUGAUGGCAACAUCUGGCAUUUCGUUCAUGUUGACGUCAAUGGCACGUAAGUGUUUCCUUCCAGAAGAAUCUCGGGGUGGGCCUGUGACUGUGACACUGUUCUCCGUCCAGGAAACUUUUGCACCCGUUUGCUCAAGAACCUCAGCAAAUUUUACAUCCCCCUAAGUAAAAGGAAAAUUGAGGGGAAAAUGUGACUUCACUUGGUUAAGGAGAACAUAAUACAGAUACAGCCAAACUCAUCUAAAUCAUAAAAACAAAGCCAAAUUUGGAAAUCAUCUGUCAAUAGGAGUUCAGGAAUCUGGGAAUCAAUCAAGAAGCACUAGGAAACAUUGGAGAAAACACAAUAGUAAAAUUAGAGCAGGUGAAGAAAUAAAAGCAUACAUUGCAAUUUGGGAAUAACUUGAAAGUUGGAAAAUUAGUAUUAGUUUACCUGUAGGCUGCUUGUCCCACAGCCUUCAACUGUGACAGUCCCACCAGUUACAGCAGCACCGGCUAGGAAGUAACUAGCACUUGAAGCAUCACCCUCAACAAAAGGAUUUCCAGGAGACCAGAAGGAUUUUCAACCUAUCACUCUCAAUGGACUAGAUUUCACAAACUCAUGCAACUAUGUAGAAAAAAAACCGACUUGUAUUUUUUACCUCCUCGGAUCAAGAAUCGGCGGUCCCAUGUAUUACCGUGCUCUACACUAACCCCAAAACGUUCCAUCACUUUCAAGGUCAUUUCAACAUAAGGAAUGGAAAUAAGUCUAUCAAUAAUCUCAAUCUCCACAUCUCCUAGAGCCAAGGGAGCUGCCAUAAGCAAAGCAGUCAAGUAUUGACUACUAAUUGAUCCAGAGAGCUUCACCUGCAAGUAGAAAUAUAGAAAAAGUGGGUUGAGAGUGGACAAAUCAGGGGUUGAUUAGCAAAAGGCCAAUCAACCCUUUUUUGUUUUUUUUGUUUCUCUUUUUGGUGCCUAAAGCAACAACAUACAGGUAAAGUCUUCCAAGUUUAGUUGUCUUAUACAUUUUGCACAAAGCAUUACCUAUUAAAAAUAAAGAUAAAGAGGAAAAAGAAAAAUGAUGACGAUUAUAUUUUCUAGUAUCAAACAGUUUUUUCAGCAACUUGUUCCUUUUCUAGAAUGAUAAAUAACAAUGGAAAUAUUCUUUUUUGAAAUGAAGUGCUUACAUUUUUAAAAUGUGAAACAAUUUUUGUUCUUAUAUUUUCUAAAAAUGAUCACAUCUCAAUUUUACAACACGUUUUGGAAAAGUGUCAAUAAGCAUGUCUUCUAUGAUUUUUCUUUUUUCUUUUUCUUUCUUCUUCUUUUUCUCUUUCAUUUUCGAAACCAGAGAGGCUUAUAAUCUGUUUACAAUUUUUUUCAUUUUCAACCAAACAGGCUUCAUGAAAGUGAAAGUUAUAAACUAAAACAUAUCAUAUGACACAUUUCCUUAUGGUGACACCAUGGCUGGAACAAUAUUUUAUGGAGGUUGAAAACAACAAUAAUAUUUCAAAGAUUUUACUCAAUGCUGGUUCCUCCAUGGUUUUAACAGUUUCAUUUUUAAAAAUGAAAAACAAUUGAAAUGAGAGAAAGAAAAGUGGGUCACGUUUGUUGACAAAAUGCUUCAACUUGCCAGGAUAUUGUGCAUAAAUAAUGGCUAGAAAAAUCAUAAAGUCAAGAACAGGAUAUGCAAAUAUAAGUGCAACUUUGGAGUAAGACCUAAAAUUUAUUAUUCCAAAAAAAAUGAAAUAAAACAUAUGCCAUUGCAUGCUAGAGUGCCAGUGUAAAGGUGAAAUGAAUAUUACCUUUCCUCCUGGAAGGCCUCCAUUCCCAUUAACAUAAACAGGAGGGCAAUUUGUUCCAAGAAAGCAGUUAACGUCUGCACCGAGCUGCUUAAGACCUGUGACUAGAUCCCCAAUUGGUCUUUCUCUCAUGCGCAGCACCCCAUCAAGUACAUAGCUGAAAAGUUAUUAAAUAGCAUAGAGGUGUCAGCUUGAAGAGUAACACAAAUAAAUGAGUGGAUGAUGUUGAGGAGCUCUAGGAGGAGAGAAUAGCAGGGAGUGGCAUGAACACAACAGUUACAGAAUCCAAUCAAAAUCCAAUCUUUUUAUUGUACCUCCCUUUUUUUUUCUUUUCCCUUUGAUAAGCAGGUGUCACAUAAUUUUGGCAUCCAUUAUUGUCACAUACGUUUUAAAAGUAAAAUAAAGAAAAAUUAAAAAAUGAAUCAGAUGACAUUGUUGAGUAACUUGAUUAUAAUAUCCUAAUCUGGAAACUUUAGGAUCUAACUAGCUAAUUGAAAUUAUCAAAAAGCAAUGCUGAACAUGUGUGCCACUUCUAUGGCACAAUUUGGAUUCUUUGUAGCUUCCUACUUAGUUGAAGUGAUUUAUGAAGACAAGAAUGUCAACCUUUUUUGUCAUUGUAGGUCAAUUUCAUUUUAGUAUCAGAAUUGAAUCAAGCUAAAGUCCAAGCUUAACAGAAGAAAUAUAUAGAAAAACAAGAAAAGGUUGUCUUGGAAAAAAACAACCCAAAAUUCUUUGUAAAAGAGUGAUCCCUAAGUUUGCUUGCACAAGUUGGAUGAUAAAACAUUUCACAAACCUUGCAUUUCCACCAGCAGCUGUAACUGCAGCUGUCAAUGCACGCGUUGCUGUUGCACAAUUUCCUAGGAAAAGUUGGACUUGGUCUACUGAUCCAUUACCCACUGGAAAUUGGCCCCCACAACCUUGCACAAUAACUCUUUUAUUUUCACUUUGCUCUUCCACUUGUAGCCCAAGGGUUCUCAGUGCUCCGAGCAUGUAAUGAACAUCUUCACUAUUCAACAAAUUGUCCACAACAGUAGUUCCCUGACAAGAUAAUUGACAUCAAAAGUUUUUAGAACCUGAAUUCUACAUGGAAAAUUCACCCCACCAAAAGCAAAGACCAUAAACUUGGAUGUUCUAAAAUAUGUCUUCCAGCUUGAGAGAUACACCAGUUAAUCACCCAUACAAUAGUCUACAUUCUAUAGCUAUAGACUCCAAGUAUAUUCUCCUGAAACUACAUGAUUUCUUUUAGAUAGUGCAUCAAAAGAGUUCAUGACUUGCUUACCAACCAUUUUCUAAGGUUUAUACAUCAAUCUAAAGUGUUAAGUUUUAUACCUUCACCCAUACAAAUCCAUAUUUUUCCAAAUUCAUCUACUUCAAAGCCUGAUUUCCAACACUACAGACACAAGUACCUUUCUUUGGUACCAAUCUUUUCUUAGAAAAAGCAUUAUUCGUCAUUCCAAUUUCAAAAAGAGAUGCAUAGAUUUUCCCAGUUCUAUAUUUCAUUUUAUUUAAAAAAAAUCAGCCUUUCAUUCAAUAUAUGAUGCUAAGAAAUAUGAACAAACUGCAUCAAGAGUAGCAAUCAUUCACAAUCGAAUUUGAAAGGAAGUCUCUACACGUAAAUAAUUCACAUAGCCACAAUUCACAAAGCAAAUCGUAAUGCUACCCAAUUUCCAAUACAAAACCAAAUCAGCUAAAUCAUAUAUUGAAAAUCAAAACUUCACCCAACAAGAAAAGAAUACAAUCCUCAUACCUCAGAGAGAGCAGCAAGAAGCAGAAUCCGAUUGGAAAGGGACUUGGAACCCGGCAACGUGAUGGUGCCGGAGAUCUCUUUAAUGGGUUGUAGGACAAUCUCCGGCACCGUCGACAGCUUCUCCUUAGUGGCAACAGAGGCCGAAACCCUAAACGGGGCCCUAACAGAAACAACCGAAUUGCUAACUGCCCUCUCAUGCUUCAAAGAAAAAGAAGAAACAUUAGGCCCUGAUCUCAAGAAGGGAGUAGUGAAUGGAGGAGUGGGUUUGUGAGGCUUGGAGAGAUUGGGCAAGAGAGGGCCGUUCUGGACACCACCACUGAUAAUUCUGGUAACUUGAGCCAUUUUUCUCUCUCUAAACUAGAGGGCUCUGAUGAAAGUGGGUAUUGAUAAGAUGGGUGUAGACCCCUUUUUUUUAGACCAUUGGAGUUUGCAUUGUUUUUUACAUUUUAAUGGUUCCCGGGGAGGAGCGGCAGCACCUUGGACGAGUGGGGGACCGGCUUCCCUAGGCAGGCUGCAUGGGACAUAUGGCCAACUCACCACGGAUGAAAGUUUCCAAUUUUUUGGCCGAAAUUUCGGGUUUCGGUGGCCGGCGAUAGAAAGAGGGGGGCGAAAUGUCGAUGGGAGAAAUUUCGCCAAAUUUCGGUGAAAAUCGGCGAAAAAAUCGCCGAAAAAUGGAUGCAGGCGAAAAAUCGGCGAAAUCUUCAAAAAAUCGCCGGACACUGCAAUUUAUCGGCGAAUUUUCGGUUUGUAUCGCCUAUUUUUUUCCGAUUUUUCGGAAAAUUUCCCGAUAUUUCCUACCAGUCCAGCCCGCGCAGAGGAUACAAAAUCUGAUCAUGAUUUGCAGGCAAAGAUUGUGUUUUUUAGCCUGGCUCAAAAAUCGUGGAUUUAGGGUUUGUGAAAUUUAAAUCCAAUGGCACAAAAGCAAAGCGACCCCUAGAACAGAUCCAGAAAACACAGGAAGCAAAAAAAAAACAGCAAUCUUUCUGGUUUUCCUUGGGGGUUUUGCAUGGAUUUUCUCGGAAAUCAAACGAGGAUGAAUUUUCCCGGAAAUCGAAUGGGGGAUGGAUUUUCUUGGGAAUCAAGCGGGGUUGCAGAAAAAUAAAAAUAAAUAACAAGAUUAGAUUAGUACCUGGGAGGAUUGAGAGUGGCAGAGGAAAAUAGGGCCUUUUUAGGGAUUCUCUCGUCUGGAGGGCAACUUCAGAAAAGGGCUUCUUGAUGACCGAGUGAGAGAAGUGGGAGGCCCUUUUUAUUUUUAGAUUUAGUAGAGAUUAAAAAAAAAAAAAAAAAAAAAGGAAACAUAUCAUGAGAACAAUUUUCCUCUCUCUAUAUAAAUAAUUAUUAAUUAUCCAUCUUUAUUUUGAUUAAAUCUGGAUUAAAAUUUGGUUUUUAUAGAUGAUAUUUUAUAAAUUAAAAUUAAUUUGAUAAGAUAAAUUAUUAAUAAUUUUAAUUAUUUAAAUAAAUUAAUGUUAAUAAAAAAAGUUGUUACCAUACAUUUUUAAUAAAAUUUUAGAAAUUAAAUCUCAAAUAAAAUAUUUUAUUGAUAUUUCAAUUUGGACCCAGUGCAUCUGAUGGUCCAAAUUGAACCUUAAGUUAUGUGAUAAUAUGUAUAAAUUAUUGAUAUUUACUAAAAAUAAGUUUUUCAUGAAACUUCAUAAUGAGUGUAUAAGUACAACCGACAUAAUAUAAUUAUGUUUAAUAUCGCAAAUCAUAUUAUAUAUAUAUAUAUAUAUAUCAAAUUCUUCACCAAAACAACUUUAAAUUGUCUAUUAUACUUUUAAUUACAUUAAUAUGAGGUUUUUUUUUUACAUUUUCAUGAGUUUUUAUCAAUUUUUUGCUUAUCAAAUUUUUUUUCCAAAAUAUCCGUCAAUAUUUCUCCGAUAUAUCCAUAAAAUCAAGUUACCGAUAUAUCCGUGAUUACCGAUAUUUUCACCCUUGGUGGCAUCUUUGCUGAAGGGUGAAUAGUGUAGCCGGUAGAAGCUUGCAAGAAAAGAAAGAGAAAAAAAAAAAAAAAAAAAAGAGGAGUUGUGUUGAAGCGGGACGAUAAAAAGGAGCAAGGAUAAGAUAGCAAAAAAAGAAAAACUAAGAAGAGGGAUAGCUUAGAGAAAAAAAGGAAAACCAGCUAGGGAGAGGGGAGAGAAGGAUCGGGGGAGAAAAAACAGAGAACGGUUUUUGAGAGCAAAAACAGAGAGUCAACUGAGGAGCAAAGAGAGGCAAGACAACUUAAAGAAGAACAACUCUCUGCUUAAAGGGAGCUUUCCAGGUAUGGCUACUGUAGGGACCAUCCCUAAGCGUACACGUGGCGACCUCACAAGGCACUCCUCCAUUGGACACGUGGCACGUCUAACCCUCUGUCUGGACGACCACAUGGACUGACAUGCGGUACGUACACCCUCUGUCCGGAUCCAGUGGCUAACAUCUCAAACAAGAUUCUUGACCACACUUCGCGGUCAAUCAUUACUCAUUUUGCCAAAAGCAUGCUCAACAAGACCUUACUGGGUCACUUCAGGCGGCCUGCCAUGACCUGCCAUGUGCCGCCUGUAGAGUGAAAAGACAAAGAUGAUGGAAAACCAUCCCUCCAGCAAUCUCUGAUAGCCGCCUACAGGAUAAUGAUGGCUUUGUCACCCUCUAAGCACCAUCAUGACAGCCAAAAAGUCUUCCCACCAUUCAAAUGGACAAAGCUCCUGGCACUAUAAAAGGCCCCCACACAGUCAAACAAGGUAAGCAUUUCUAAGGAAAGGGACCCCAUAAAAAUAUCAAUAUGCUAGAGAGCAAAACUAACAAAGGCAUCGGAGGGUGUGUCUGGACCCCCUAUCCGGACAUUUUUUGCAGAUCAAAGGAAGGAAGCAUCUUCUUCAGUUGAGGAGGCAAGUCAAUCAGGAAACUGGAGUGAUCCUGGUAAUGCCAGCCUUUAACAGCUACUAGGCCACUGGUUUGCCUUGUUAGAUCUACUCUUUAUAGACAUGCUAUGUUUUGGUUUUAUUUUGGUGUUUUUUAUUUCUCUUAUAAAUAUCUGAUGCUCUGCUGCUCCUUCCCUAAACUUGAUGUAUCAAAAUCAUGCUCUUGCUCCCUCUUGAUUCCACCUAUAUCCAACCCAUUGAUCUUUAUGAAGGAGCUAGGUUUAACAAUAUCAUCUUUGUUUGUACAUGCUCUGUUUUUCUUCAUUUUCUCCUAUGUUUUUAGUAUUUUUGGAGUAUUGGUUAUCAUGUUUGGGUUGGCCAUCUUAGUCAGGGUAUUUUUGGAGUAUUGGGUAUCAUGUCUAGGCUGGCCAUCUUGGUUGGGGUGCUUCUGGGAAAGCUCAAGUCAGUCCAGUAGAUUCAAUUGUGGAAGAAGUCAAAGAUUGGAGCUCUAUUGAAGCGAUUUGCUACAGCUUGAUAUUGUUUGGUCUUUUGAGGAAAUGUUCUUGUUGAAGUAGAGAGAGAAUUAUUGAGAACAAUGACUUGACUUUUCCAUUUAUUAAGAAUGAAUAUAUAUACAUAAAACCUAAAACACAAAAAUAGGAAACAAUUCUAUAAUUAGGGAAUUACAACAAAAAUAUGAAGUUACAACUAAUUACAAGAAUUGGAAAAUAAAAAGAAAAUCUAUUGUUAAUGAAUUCUCUAAUACGCCCCCUUAAGAUGGAGUUCUAGAGGAGACGCCAAUCUUGACUCGUAAUUCUUGGAAGCGGCUUCGUGGAAGCGGUUUAAUAAGAGCGUUAGCAAGUUGAUCUGCUAAGGAAACAUGAGUAACACGAAGAGCACCUGAUUGAACUUGAUCCCGAAUAAAGUGAUAGUCAAUUGCCACAUGUUUCAUGCGUGAAUGAAAGAUUGGAUUAGAAUAAAGAUAGAUGGCACCAACAUUGUCACAAUAAAUAACAGGUGGUGUAGGUAGAGUGACGUCAAGCUAUGUGAGAAGGGAACAAAUCCAAUUGAUUUCUGAAGUAGUAGCGGCAACUGAUCGAUACUCAGCCUCUGUGGAUGACCAAGCAACUAUACGUUGUUUCUUGGAUGACCAAGAAAUUGGAUGACGACCAAGAUAGACAAUAUAAGCACUCGUAGAGGUAUAGUCGUCUUUGUUGCCAACCUAAUCUGCAUCUGAGAAGGCAUGAAGAGAAAGUGUAUUUGCCUUAUGAAGAAAUAAUCCAUGAGUCAAUGUGCCAUAUAGAUAUCGAAGCAGUCGUUUUGCAGCAUUCCAAUGUUCAGACAUCGGGUGAUGCAUGAAUUGGGAUAGCUUGUUAACAACAUAUGAUAUGUCUAGGCGAGUGAGGCAAAGAUACUGUAGACUGCCAACAAGGGUUCUAUAUUCUGUGCAGUUAGUAAGAGUUGUACCUAAAUGAAGUGUGAGAUUUCCAUCUGUAACAAGUGGUGUAGCAACAAAUUUUGCACUAGACAUUUUUGUCUAGGCAAGAAGAUCAGAGAUGUAGCGCCUUUGAGUAAGCAACACACCAGAUGGAGAGGUAAGAACCUCAAUGCCAAGAAAGUAGGACAAGGUGCCAAGAUCCUUGAUUGAAAAUCUUUGUGCUAGGAGAUCAAUGUAGUGCUGAAUAAUAUUGGUGUUGGUACUUGUGAUAAUAAUGUCAUCUACAUAAACAAGUAAAUAUAUAGUAAUGUCACCUGAGUGAAGAAUGAAUAGAGAAGUGUCUACAUGAAAGUUUGUGAACCUAGACUUAAUGAAGAAUUGGUGAAGUUCAAGAUACCAAGCUCGUGGGGCUUGCUUGAGUCCAUAUAUAGCCUUCUUUAAUUUGCAUAUGUGUUGGAUUGUCUUUAUCAACAAAUACCGGAGGUUGUGUCAUGUAGACAUCUUCGGAAAGAUGGCCUUGAAGAAAGACAUUAUUAACAUCCAAAUGCCGCAAUUGCCAGCCUUUACUGACUACUAGGCUUAGAACAAACCGUAUUGUUGUCGGUUUGAUAACUGGACUAAAGGUGUCAUGAUAAUCCACGCUAGGUCUUUGAUGAAAACCUUUGGCAACUAAUUUGGCUUUGUACCUAUCAAUAGAGCCAUCAAGAAGCCGUUUAAUACGAAAAACCCACUUACAUCCAACAAGAUUUUGCAUAAAAGUAGAUGGAACAAGCUCCCAAUUUCCAUUCCGAACAAGAGCAUCAAAUUCAUCAUUCAUGGCUUGUCUCCAUUUGGGAUCGGUGAGGGCUUGGUUAAUAGUAUGAGGCUCAAUGUCUGAUGGUUGAGAAAUGACAGCAAUGAGAUUCAUCUUGGUUAGGGGUUUGUGGAUGUUGUUUUUAGCUCUAGUGUUCAUGGGAUGGGUAUUUUGAUGGGUGGAUGGAGAUGUGGUUGAAGUAGAAGAGAUCUUAGAAUUGUGUGGUUCUAGUGGUAAACGGUCGAUUGGUGAAGAGGGGCGAUUGACCGGUUGGGCAUUUUAGGACGGAUGUUGACACGAGGAAUCCCUUUGUGGAGGCGUAUUGAGUGAGCCAUUUGAAAUGGUUAGAGUUUAGACCGGUGGAAGCUAAUUGGGAAUGAGUUGUAGGGUGGGACGAGCUAGAUGAGAUUGGUGAGUGGUAAAGGGAAAAGUGUUUUCAAGAAAUUUGACAUGAUGAGAAAUAUAGGUUUUAGAGGUGGACAGAUCAAGACAGAUAUAGGCACUUUGUGUUGAAGAGUAAGUAAGAAAAACAUAAGGAGUGGAACGAGAAACAAGUUUAUGUUGAGAAUAAGGACGAGGCCACGGAUAACAUAAGCAACCGAACACCCGAAGUUUAGUGUAGUUGGGUGGAGACUCAAAGAGUUUGUCAAAAGGAAAUGAGAGAUGUAGUGUGGGUGUGGGCAUACGGUUGAUGAGAUAUAUAAUAGUGGCAAAGGCGUAAGUCCAAAAAGUUAGAGGCAUCGAUGCAUGAGUGAGAAGAGAUAGAUCGGUUUCAACAAUAUGGCGAUGACGUCGUUUGGAAAAACCAUUAUGUUCAGGUGUAUGUGGUGGUAUAGUAAGAUGUGAUAUACCAUUGGUGGAAAGAAAAUUAUCAAGGGCUUGAUAUUCGCCACCAUUAUCUGAAUAAAGGGUAACAAUUCGGUGUUUAGAUUGGUUUUUGACUAAUGCCUUGAAGCACACAAAGACAUCAUACACAUGAGAUUUCCAUUUAAGUGGAUAAUACCAAAUAUAUCGUGUAUAAUGAUCAACAAAA